GUCAGUAUACACAUGAUUGGGCCAGCUGUAGCUUCUAGCAAGAAUUGAAGUUAGGAUUAUAUUCUCCGAAAGAGACUGGAAGACAGAGGUCUUAUCCUUUCUGCAGGUGUUCUAUUCAUCACUGCAUACUUAAGAUCCAAUGCUCUAUCUUAGACAGCUGUGCAGUUUAUAUACUGCCCAAAUAUGUCUGGAUAAAGAGAUUCCACAGGAAGUAAUUAAUUAAAAAUCAACAAUGGCAAUGGUAAGUGAUAUAUUUUCUUGGAAUAGGAAAAUUAGUUUUUAAAAUUCUUCAUAGCAGUAUAAGAUAUUUAAUAUCAAAUGUUAAUAUAUUCCUCUCUUUGGAAAAAUUAUUUCAGGAAGACUAAAAGAACUGGGAUGUAUAUCAGUAUCUUAUACUGACCUCAAUUUUAUUGAUAGCUACCUUCCAAACUUUGUGUGGUUGACAGAACUGACUUUUUUUCCAGUUUUUGUCUUAAACCAGCAUAAAUUCGAGUCCAUUAAGCAUCAGAAAGGUAAAUUGUUGUUCACUUGUAAGAAGCAAAGAGUCUUUCUUAAAAACAAUGUAUUUUAUUGAAGUUAGUUGAUUUAUAAUGUU